rnacentral:rRNA from 1 species
AUACGGAGGAUCCGAGCGUUAUCCGGAUUUAUUGGGUUUAAAGGGUGCGCAGGCGGGAGAUUAAGUCGGCGGUGGAAUUUUUCAGCUCAACUGUAAAAGUGCCUUCGGAACUGGUUUUCUUGAGUGUAGAUGAAGUAGGCGGGAUUUGUGGUGUAGCGGUGAAAUGCAUAGAUAUCACGAGGAACUCCGAUUGCGCAGGCAGCUUACUAAACUACUACUGACGCUCAGGCACGAAGGCGUGGGGAUCAAACAGGAUUAGAUACCCUGGUAGUCCACGCAGUAAACGAUGAUUACUAGCUGUUUGCGAUACAAUGUAAGCGGCUGAGCGAAAGCGUUAAGUAAUCCACCUGGGGAGUACGUUCGCAAGAAUGAAACUCAAAUGAAUUGACGGGG